rnacentral:tRNA from 1 species
GGUAGAGCUCAGUGGUAGAAGCGCUUUCCUCGCAUGGAGGAGGCCCUGGGUUCCAUUCCCAGCUAUGG